CGUGGGUAACCUGCCUCAUACAGGGGGAUAGCAGCUGGAAACGGCUGAUAAAACCGCAUAAGCGCACAGCAUCGCAUGAUGCAGUGUGAAAAACUCCGGUGGUAUGAGAUGGACCCGCGUCUGAUUAGCUGGUUGGUGAGGUAACGGCCCACCAAGGCGACGAUCAGUAGCCGGCCUGAGAGGGUGACCGGCCACAUUGGGACUGAGACACGGCCCAG
rnacentral:rRNA from 1 species